GACUUUCUCUUUCUCCAACUGCGGAUAUAGGUGCUGCUCGUAAUGUCGGCUUCUUCAAAAAGUUGAAACUGCAAGCAUCAUACACGAGGGACGCGCAGAACCACGUGGGCUUGGUUAAAUGGCGCCAAUGCUUAUGCGUGUGACUUAAAAAAAGCUCUGCUUUUGUGGUUUAAUCAACCGACAUGGUGUGGACAAAGGGAUGAUUUCACAGAAACUUGAGAGGUUUUUGAAGUUCUCAGUUGUAAAGGUGAUCUAGAGAUUUGAGAGGUGAAGAUUCCCCUGGCCAUCUCAACGUGUGGUUACAGGUUCGAGUCCGCAAGGUCUUCGACUUUCUAUGUGGGUGCUACUGCAGUUAACAUCCAAAAAAUGUGUUUUUCAGCACGGUGUAUGCUGUUACAUGUUCUGAAGUAUUCUUACUGAUAUUUUGUCAGUUUCAAUAAAUGUACAAAACCUGA